rnacentral:rRNA from 1 species
GGCGAAUGAAUUUAGCCGCCGCGAAUCGCCCUUAGAGUUUGAUCCUGGCUCAGGCAUAAACGCUGGCGGCGCACAUAAGACAUGCAAGUCGAACGGAAGUCGUUGUAAUGAUGUUGACAUGAACACCGAACUUGUUCAAAGGGAGUGAAAAUUGACUUACAACAAUGGCUUUAGUGGCGGACUGGUGAGUAACACGUAAGCAACCUGCCUAUCAGAGGGGAACAACAGUUAGAAAUGACUGCUAAUACCGCAUAUGCCUUAGUAACACAUGUUAUAAAAGGGAAAGGAACAAUCCGCUGAUAGAUGGGCUUGCGUCUGAUUAGAUAGUUGGUGGGGUAACGGCCUACCAAGUCGACGAUCAGUAGCCGGACUGAGAGGUUGAACGGCCACAUUGGGACUGAGAUACGGCCCAGACUCCUACGGGAGGCAGCAGUCGGGAAUAUUGCGCAAUGGAGGAAACUCUGACGCAGUGACGCCGCGUGCAGGAAGAAGGUUUUCGGAUUGUAAACUGCUUUAGACAGGGAAGAAAAAAGACAGUACCUGUAGAAUAAGCUCCGGCUAACUACGUGCCAGCAGCCGCGGUAAUACGUAGGGAGCAAGCGUUAUCCGGAUUUAUUGGGUGUAAAGGGUGCGUAAACGGAGAGGCAAGUUAGUUGUGAAAUCCCUCGGCUUAACUGAGGAACUGCAACUANAACUACUUCCCUUGAGUGCUGGAGAGGAAAGUGGAAUUCCUAGUGUAGCGGUGAAAUGCGUAGAUAUUAGGAGGAACACCAGUGGCGAAGUCGACUUUCUGGACAGUAACUGACGUUGAGGCACGAAAGUGUGGGGAGCAAACAGGAUUAGAUACACUGGUAGUCCACACCGUAAACGAUGGAUACUAGCUGUAGGAUGUGAUAAACAUUGUGUGCCGUCGCACACGCAAUAAGUAUCCCACCUGGGGAGUACGGCCGCAAGGUUGAAACUCAAAGGAAUUGACGGGGGCCCGCACAAUCAGUGGAGUAUGUGGUUUAAUUCGACGCAAUGCGAAGAACCUUAUCAGGGCUUGACAUAUACAGGCAUAUAUUAGAGAUAGUAUAGCUCUUCGGAGUCUGUAUACAGGUGGUGCAUGGUGGUCGUCAGCUCGUGUCGUGAGAUGCUGGGCUAAGUCCCGCAACGAGCGCAACCCCUGUUUAUAGUUGCCAGCAUGUAAUGGUGGGAACUCUAAGAAGACUGCCGGUGAUACAUCGGAGGAAGAUGGGAACGACGUCAAAUCAUCAUGCCCUAUAUGUAGUGGGCUACACACGUAUUACAAUGGGUAAGACAGAGGGAAGCAAAGCCGCGAGGUGGAGCAAAACCCAAAAAAGUAGUCUCAGUUCGGAUUGAAUGCCUGAAAUUCGCGCUUCAUGAAGCACGGAAUUGAUUAGUAAUGGCGAGGUCACGCAUAGAUGCCGUAGAAUACGAUGCCCGGGCCUUGUACACGCCGCCCGUCAAGGGCGAAUUCUGUUUAAACAAUGUCAGGAGCGAGUCCAAUUUAGUGAGGCUAAUUGUGGCUGCAGUCUGGCGGG